AACGAACGCUGGCGGCAUGCCUAACACAUGCAAGUCGAACGAGAUCUUCGGGUCUAGUGGCACACGGGUGCGUAACGCGUGGGAAUCUGCCCUUUGGUUCGGAAUAACAGUUGGAAACGACUGCUAAUACCGGAUGAUGACGAAAGUCCAAAGAUUUAUCGCCAGAGGAUGAGCCCGCGUAGGAUUAGCUAGUUGGUGGGGUAAAGGCGCACCAAGGCGACGAUCCUUAGCUGGUCUGAGAGGAUGAUCAGCCACACUGGGACUGAGACACGGCCCAGACUCCUACGGGAGGCAGCAGUGGGGAAUAUUGGACAAUGGGCGAAAGCCUGAUCCAGCAAUGCCGCGUGAGUGAUGAAGGCCUUAGGGUUGUAAAGCUCUUUUACCCGGGAUGAUAAUGACAGUACCGGGAGAAUAAGCUCCGGCUAACUCCGUGCCAGCAGCCGCCGUAA
rnacentral:rRNA from 1 species